AGUGAACGCUGGCGGUAGGCCUAACACAUGCAAGUCGAACGGCAGCACAGUAAGAGCUUGCUCUUACGGGUGGCGAGUGGCGGACGGGUGAGGAAUACAUCGGAAUCUACUUUUUCGUGGGGGAUAACGUAGGGAAACUUACGCUAAUACCGCAUACGACCUACGGGUGAAAUCAGGGGAUCUUCGGACCUUGCGCGAUUGAAUGAGCCGAUGUCGGAUUAGCUAGUUGGCGGGGUAAAGGCCCAACAAGGCGACGAUCCGUAGCUGGUCUGAGAGGAUGAUCAGCCACACUGGAACUGAGACACGGUCCAGACUCCUACGGGAGGCAGCAGUGGGGAAUAUUGGACAAUGGGCGCAAGCCUGAUCCAGCCAUACCGCGUGGGUGAAGAAGGCCUUCGGGUUGUAAAGCCCUUUUGUUGGGAAAGAAAAGCAGCAGGUUAAUACCCCGCUGUUCUGACGGUACCCAAAGAAUAAGCACCGGCUAACUUCGUG
rnacentral:rRNA from 1 species